rnacentral:rRNA from 1 species
UACGUAGGGGGCUAGCGUUGUCCGGAAUCAUUGGGCGUAAAGCGCGUGUAGGCGGUUCGGUAAGUCCGCUGUGAAGUCGGGGCUCAACCCUCGGAUGCCGGUGGAUACUGUCGGACUAGAGUACGGAAGAGGUGAGUGGAAUUCCUGGUGUAGCGGUGAAAUGCGCAGAUAUCAGGAGGAACACCGAUUGCGAAGGCAGCUCGCUGGGACGUUACUGACGCUGAGACGCGAAAGCGUGGGGAGCAAACAGG